rnacentral:rRNA from 1 species
CUACGGGCGGCUGCAGUGGGGAAUAUUGGACAAUGGGCGAAAGCCUGAUCCAGCAAUGCCGCGUGUGCGAUGAAGGCCUGAGGGUUGUAAAGCACUUUCGUUGGGAAAGAAAUGCUCAAAGCUAAUACCUUUGAGAGUUGACGUUACCCAAAGAAGAAGCACCGGCUAACUCUGUGCCAGCAGCCGCGGUAAUACAGAGGGUGCAAGCGUUAAUCGGAGUUACUGGGCGUAAAGGGCGCGUAGGCGGAUACUUAAGUCGGAUGUGAAAUCCCUGGGCUCAACCUAGGAACUGCGUUCGAUACUAAGUGCCUAGAGUAUGGUAGAGGAAAGUGGAAUUCCCGGUGUAGUGGUAAAAUACGUAGAUAUCGGGAGGAACAUCAGUGGCGAAGGCGACUUUCUGGGCCAAUACUGACGCUGAGGCGCGAAAGCGUGGGGAGCAAACAGGAUUAGAUACCCUCGUAGUC